rnacentral:tRNA from 1 species
GGUUCCAUAGUGUAGCGGUUAGCACGUCUGCUUUACAUGCAGAAGGUCCUGGGUUCACGACCCAGUGGAACCA